UAAUAUUAUUUACAGUAAGAAAUAAAACAUAAUUUUUUAUAUACAUUAUGAUUUAAAGAUGAAAGCAGAACAGGAACAGGUGUAGGUACCGGAUACUGGAAGACGGAUGAGGAUGAUCGAAUAACAUGGAGUGGUUAUACCGGGGACAGGACACACACUGCUCUGAAUCCAGUCCAAGAUUUUCGAAGAAAAGAAGCAGGAAGUGAGGCCAAAUACAUAUCCGUAACCGAUAUAAUUUUAUUCCUAUAUCCAUAACAUCUCUACCUUUCCGACCAACUGUCACAAAGUAAUUUAUUGCUUUCUACAAACCAUUCAAGACAAGUUUUCAUUAAAUGUUCAUAGAGUUUUAUCAAGACAAGAUAAAAUGAAUAGGAAUGAAUUUGCAUUAGAGGGAUUUUUAUUAGGAAAUAUUCAAGAGUGUGGUUACCUAUAUGAGAGAUGAAGGAAUAUGGGAUUCCAUUGUCACCGGGGGUUCAAUAGCAUCAAAGGCACAAUUAUUAUAGGAACUGAUAAUGAAUGAUGAAAAUUAAUUAGUUAAUGAAUCGGGGAGAAUACGUUUCAGUAAAUGCACACCUGAAUCUUCUAAUAUUACGCCAUACCACAGAAGGACGGACAUUAGGGGAGAUAGAGAGACAAAAAGAUUUCCAGCUAUCUGCUUUUUUCUUUUUAAAUAAUAAACUAGUGGCCUUGAAAGCAUCUGUAACCAGAUCAAAAUUUGUCAGAUGUACAAUUCUCACAAUAUUGGAGCUCAACUUGCUUUCUUUUUUUAAUUGUAUCCAUUCUUGAUCCCACCAAGGUGAAGAUGGAAUAAAACCUAGAGCACCAUUUUUAAGUGGAAAAGUUACACAGCAACCUCUAUAAAUAAUUUAGUUAAUGCAUCAGCACAAAUUGAUUCUGAACCAUGUGAGAUAUUAGGAAGGGAAGUCAUCUUUUGUUCUAUACGGCAUUUAAAGGUAUCCCAAUCAGCAUUAUUAAGUCGAUGUUUUAAUCUAGGAAAAUGUCUAAAUGCAAAAUUAAUAUGAAAAGGAAAUCUAAGAAGUAGAGAAAAGUGGUCACUACCAUAUGAAGAAGAAAGUUUAGACCAUGAUAGUGGAAGCUAAAGUAGGAUUAAAUAAAAAUAUAAGUAGGCUUAAAUCAGGGACACUUGAGCCUUCAUUGGGAGAGGUCCGCCAGGUCACAUAACCAUUGUUGAGAAAGCAAAGAUUAUGAGAGUAUUUGUUGAACUGCCCCAAGAACUAUGUUGACUGUUAACAUCGCCUAAUAAGAUAUAAGGCUUAGGAAGAGUAGAAAUGAUAGAGUCAAUUUCAACAAAGAUAGAAGAACUUGGAUGAGGUAUAUAAAUUGAAACAUGUAAUAUAUAUCCUCGAUACCCAUCAAUACGAUCCUCAAGGAGACAGGCAUAUCCUGAGUACCUACAAGGAGCAUCUGGUUUUAACGAAAUCUCCUGUAUAAGAUAAAUAAUAUCACUUUUCUUAGACGAAGCUUUAGCUUGCUUGUCCAUUAUUAAUAUAAUUUGGUAAGUUAACGAUAGUGUCAGUUUAAGGAGCAGCGUUGGACUGUGGAAUAAUAUUAGACUGUGAUAUAGUGUUGAUGAGAAUUGUAAUUAGAUCUGCAAUUGAUUGUAAUGUCAAUUCAUUAGUGUUGUUUGAGUUUAAUCCACAACCAUUUCUGGGUGAGGGCAUAUCAUAGUCUUUAAUUAAUUCUUGUUAUGUAUUUCUGUUGUAACCUUUGGAUAGUUUAGGAAUAGAUUUUGGUUUAAGAAAAACAGUCUUUUUGUAAGAGUUACUCAAAGACUGUUUAUGAGGCUGUUCAUUUUGAGGAGUAGAAAUAGUAGAAGCCCCUACAUUGUCAGAAGAAAGUAGGGCAUCAGCAUAAGACAUUUUUGAAAUAGGUGCAUGAAUUUUAGAUGCUUCAGUUUCUUUGAUGGCUUUUUGGCGAUCAAAUUCUAAACAUCUUUUACUUGUGAAAAAGUGACUGAAAAUAGAGCGCUGGUUUUGAUCUACAUAACACUUUCUACAACAAUUGUAACACUGUAUUGUGGGGAAAAUGUAAGAACCACAGUCUCAGAAGGCUUAAACUCACUGCCAUUACUAGUAAUGGUACACCGUCGCAUUCUUCUCACUUUUAAAAUUGGACCACAUCCAACAGGUAAAUUAAUAUUUUCCAUAACUUCUUCAUCUGACCACUCAGCAGGUAUGCCUCUUACAACACCCAUAUGGGUCACAGUAAAUAUUGGGAUAGAAACCUUAUACUCAACUGAUUGUAAAGCAGGGUUGUUUAGGAAAGAAUUGGCGUCCUGGUACAGUCUAUUACGACCAAUUCGUUUUAAGCUUACGUUAACAAAAUUGUGUAUAGAAUUUCUUUUUCAGAAACAACCGAAAUCAAUAGGGUGAACUGAAAUAUUAUCAUUUGGAGUUUGCUGUGCUCUUUGUAUGUUAACAACAUAUGGUGCUGCAUCACUUGACUGAUAUGUUAAACAUGCUACUGAUUCUGGCUUUUUAUAUUGAUUAGGGGAAUUUAGUUGCGACUCAUUGGACAAGGGAGCAGUGCUAAUUUGGGUAUUGGUAUUAGGUAAAGGAAUGCAAUGACAUUCGUUUUGUCUGAUUUCCUUGCCCUCAUGUCGUCUCCGACUACGUCUCUUUCUAUUACAAUGGGUUGUUUAUGCAGUGGCUCUUCGUUUCCGAGCACCACUGCUAGACUUUAUGGAUCCGUCUGUUUCCAUCCCAACUCGUCAUUGGAAAAUUUUAUUAUACAACCCAUCCCAGGGACUUCUCUGCCCCAAGGAUCAUCAGGCGGCUCCAUAAGGCAAAAUUCGCUGGUAUUGGCAUCACGAGAUUUCACCGCUUCCGCCCAUGCCUUAAAGUAUUCUCGCUUUCGACGCGAGGAAAAGCAAGAACGCAGAAAAUGGAAUAAAGCCAUGCCCUGCAGACCACUUCGGCAACAGAGGCAGUGACUGAAUCUGGAGCUUCCGACGAAAAGCACUUAGGCCUUAAGCCCCCAAGGGUAGGACGCAAAGACAGACCGCAUCCACAGGUUAUUUCACCAGUGGGCAAAGCCUAAAAAUAGUUUUAUUAUUUAUACCCAACAGUGCUUGUUUCAAUAUAAUUAAACGUUA